rnacentral:rRNA from 1 species
AUUGAACGCUGGCGGCAUGCUUUACACAUGCAAGUCGAGCGGUAACAGGCCUUCGGGUGCUGACGAGUGGCGAACGGGUGAGUAAUGCAUCGGAACGUACCCAGAGGUGGGGGAUAACGCAGCGAAAGCUGUGCUAAUACCGCAUGUGAUCUGAGGAUGAAAGCGGGGGACCGAGCAGCAAUGUUUGGCCUCGCGCCUUUGGAGCGGCCGAUGUCGGAUUAGCUAGUUGGUGGGGUAAAGGCCUACCAAGGCGGCGAUCCGUAGCUGGUCUGAGAGGACGACCAGCCACACUGGGACUGAGACACGGCCCAGACUCCUACGGGAGGCAGCAGUGGGGAAUUUUGGACAAUGGGCGCAAGCCUGAUCCAGCAAUGCCGCGUGCGGGAAGAAGGCCUUCGGGUUGUAAACCGCUUUUGGCAGGAACGAAACGGUGUCCGCUAAUACCGGGCGCUAAUGACGGUACCUGCAGAAUAAGCACCGGCUAACUACGUG